rnacentral:rRNA from 1 species
CAGGAUGAACGCUGGCGGCGUGCCUAAUACAUGCAAGUCGAGCGAACAGACAAGGAGCUUGCUCCUUUGACGUUAGCGGCGGACGGGUGAGUAACACGUGGGUAACCUACCUAUAAGACUGGGAUAACUUCGGGAAACCGGAGCUAAUACCGGAUAAUAUUUCGAACCGCAUGGUUCGAUAGUGAAAGAUGGUUUUGCUAUCACUUAUAGAUGGACCCGCGCCGUAUUAGCUAGUUGGUAAGGUAACGGCUUACCAAGGCGACGAUACGUAGCCGACCUGAGAGGGUGAUCGGCCACACUGGAACUGAGACACGGUCCAGACUCCUACGGGAGGCAGCAGUAGGGAAUCUUCCGCAAUGGGCGAAAGCCUGACGGAGCAACGCCGCGUGAGUGAUGAAGGUCUUCGGAUCGUAAAACUCUGUUAUUAGGGAAGAACAUACGUGUAAGUAACUAUGCACGUCUUGACGGUACCUAAUCAGAAAGCCACGGCUAACUACGUGCCAGCAGCCGCGGUAAUACGUAGGUGGCAAGCGUUAUCCGGAAUUAUUGGGCGUAAAGCGCGCGUAGGCGGUUUUUUAAGUCUGAUGUGAAAGCCCACGGCUCAACCGUGGAGGGUCAUUGGAAACUGGAAAACUUGAGUGCAGAAGAGGAAAGUGGAAUUCCAUGUGUAGCGGUGAAAUGCGCAGAGAUAUGGAGGAACACCAGUGGCGAAGGCGACUUUCUGGUCUGUAACUGACGCUGAUGUGCGAAAGCGUGGGGAUCAAACAGGAUUAGAUACCCUGGUAGUCCACGCCGUAAACGAUGAGUGCUAAGUGUUAGGGGGUUUCCGCCCCUUAGUGCUGCAGCUAACGCAUUAAGCACUCCGCCUGGGGAGUACGACCGCAAGGUUGAAACUCAAAGGAAUUGACGGGGACCCGCACAAGCGGUGGAGCAUGUGGUUUAAUUCGAAGCAACGCGAAGAACCUUACCAAAUCUUGACAUCCUUUGACAACUCUAGAGAUAGAGCCUUCCCCUUCGGGGGACAAAGUGACAGGUGGUGCAUGGUUGUCGUCAGCUCGUGUCGUGAGAUGUUGGGUUAAGUCCCGCAACGAGCGCAACCCUUAAGCUUAGUUGCCAUCAUUAAGUUGGGCACUCUAAGUUGACUGCCGGUGACAAACCGGAGGAAGGUGGGGAUGACGUCAAAUCAUCAUGCCCCUUAUGAUUUGGGCUACACACGUGCUACAAUGGACAAUACAAAGGGCAGCGAAACCGCGAGGUCAAGCAAAUCCCAUAAAGUUGUUCUCAGUUCGGAUUGUAGUCUGCAACUCGACUACAUGAAGCUGGAAUCGCUAGUAAUCGUAGAUCAGCAUGCUACGGUGAAUACGUUCCCGGGUCUUGUACACACCGCCCGUCACACCACGAGAGUUUGUAACACCCGAAGCCGGUGGAGUAACCAUUUGGAGCUAGCCGUCGAAGGUGGGACAAAUGAUUGGGGUGAAGUCG